rnacentral:rRNA from 1 species
AGAGUUUGAUCCUAGCUCAGAACGAACGCUGGCGGCGCGUCUUAAGCAUGCAAGUCGAGCGGUAAGUCGGUGCUUAGCACCGAUCUAGAGCGGCGGACUGGUGAGUAACACGUGGGUGAUCUACCCCUAGGAUUGGGAUAGCCAUUAGAAAUAGUGGGUAAUACCAAAUAUGAUUGUCUGAUUAUGGUCAGACAAAGAAAGGAGCUAAGGCUCCACCUUAGGAUGAGCCCGCGCCCUAUUAGCUAGUUGGUAGUGUAAUGGACUACCAAGGCGAUGAUUGGUAGCCGGCCUGAGAGGGCGAACGGCCACACUGGGACUGAGAUACGGCCCAGACUCCUACGGGAGGCAGCAGCUGAGAAUAUUCCGCAAUGGACGAAAGUCUGACGGAGCGACGCCGCGUGGAUGAUGAAGGCCGAGAGGUUGUAAAGUCCUUUUAUUGAUGAAGAAUAAAUAGGGAAGGGAAUGUCCUUAUGAUGACAUUAGUCGAUGAAUAAGCCCCGGCUAAUUACGUGCCAGCAGCCGCGGUAACACGUAAGGGGCAAGCGUUGUUCGGAAUUAUUGGGCGUAAAGGGUGCGUAGGCGGUUUUAUAAGCCCGGCGUGAAAUACCAGAGCUUAACUCUGGAACAGCGCUAGGAACUGUGAAGCUUGAGUUAUGGAGAGGGAGUUGGAAUUCCAGGUGUAGGGGUGAAAUCUGUAGAUAUCUGGAAGAACACCGGUGGCGAAGGCGAACUCCUAGCCAAUAACUGACGCUGAGGCACGAAGGUGCGGGGAGCAAACAGGAUUAGAUACCCUGGUAGUCCGCACAGUAAACGAUGUGCACUAGGUGUUGGAUUUAGCGAUUCAGUACCGAAAUUAACGUGAUAAGUGCACCGUCUGGGGAGUAUGCUCGCAAGGGUGAAACUCAAAGGAAUUGACGGGGGCCCGCACAAGCGGUGGAGCAUGUGGUUUAAUUCGAUGUACGCGAGGAACCUUACCUGGGUUUGACAUCCUGAGGAAUAUGAUAGAGAUAUCAUAGCGUAGUAAUACGUCGCAGGACAGGUGCUGCAUGGCUGUCGUCAGCUCGUGCCGUGAGGUGUUGGGUUAAGUCCCGCAACGAGCGCAACCCCUACUACCAGUUACUAACAGGUUAAGCUGAGAACUCUGGUGGAACUGCCGGUGAUAAACCGGAGGAAGGCGGGGACGACGUCAAGUCAUCAUGGCCCUUAUGUCCAGGGCUACACACGUGCUACAAUGGUUAGUACAGAGUGAUGCAAAAUCGUGAGAUAUAAGCAAAUCACAGAAAACUAAUCAUAGUCCGGAUUGAAGUCUGAAACUCGACUUCAUGAAGUUGGAAUCGCUAGUAAUCGCGCAUCAGCAUGGCGCGGUGAAUGCGUUCUCGGGCCUUGUACACACCGCCCGUCACACCAUCCGAGUUGGGGAUACCCGAAGCCAGUAGCUUAACCUGUAAAGGAGAGCGUUGUCUAAGGUAUGACUAGUAAGGAGGGUGAAGUCGUAACAAGGUA